GACGAACGCUGGCGGCGUGCUUAACACAUGCAAGUCGAACGGAAAGGCCCCUUUUGGGGUACUCGAGUGGCGAACGGGUGAGUAACACGUGAGUAACCUGCCCUUGACUUCGGGAUAACUUCAGGAAACUGGGGCUAAUACCGGCUAGGAAUCCUUGCUGCAUGGUGGGGGUUGGAAAGCUUCGGCGGUUUUGGAUGGACUCGCGGCUUAUCAGCUUGUUGGUGGGGUAGUGGCUUACCAAGGCUUUGACGGGUAGCCGGCCUGAGAGGGCGACCGGCCACAUUGGGACUGAGAGACGGCCCAGACUCCUACGGGAGGCAGCAGUGGGGAAUAUUGCACAAUGGGCGGAAGCCUGAUGCAGCAACGCCGCGUGCGGGAUGACGGCCUUCGGGUUGUAAACCGCUUUCAGCAGGGGCGAAGCUUGUGGUGACGGUACCUGCAGAAGAAGCACCGGCUAACUACGUG
rnacentral:rRNA from 1 species